CCUACGGGAGGCAGCAGUGAGGAAUAUUGGUCAAUGGGCGGAAGCCUGAACCAGCCAAGUAGCGUGCGGGAUGAAGGCCCUACGGGUUGUAAACCGCUUUUGCACGGGGAUAACACCCUCCUCUUGUGGAGGUCUGCAGGUACCGUGCGAAUAAGGGCCGGCUAAUUCCGUGCCAGCAGCCGCGGUACUACGGAAGGCCCGAGCGUUAUCCGGAUUCAUUGGGCUUAAAGGGAGCGUAGGCGGGCGUUCAAGUCAGCGGUAAAAUCGCGCGGCUCAACCGCGCCCCGCAGUUGAAACUGGACGCCUUGAGUUCACAACAGGCAGGCGGAAUGCGUGGUGUAGCGGUGAAAUGCAUAGAUAUCCCGAGGAACCCCGAUUGCGAAGGCAGCCUGCCGGGGUGCGACUGACGCUGAGGCUCGAAGGUGCGGGUAUCAAACAGGAUUAGAUACCCGUGUAGUC
rnacentral:rRNA from 1 species